rnacentral:rRNA from 1 species
ACGCUAGCUACAGGCUUAACACAUGCAAGUCGAGGGGCAUCAGGAAGAAAGCUUGCUUUCUUUGCCGGCGACCGGCGCACGGGUGAGUAACACGUAUCCAACCUGCCCUUUACUCGGGGAUAGCCUUUCGAAAGAAAGAUUAAUACCCGAUAGCAUAAUGAUUCCGCAUGGUUUCAUUAUUAAAGGAUUCCGGUAAAGGAUGGGGAUGCGUUCCAUUAGGUUGUUGGUGAGGUAACGGCUCACCAAGCCUUCGAUGGAUAGGGGUUCUGAGAGGAAGGUCCCCCACAUUGGAACUGAGACACGGUCCAAACUCCUACGGGAGGCAGCAGUGAGGAAUAUUGGUCAAUGGGCGCUAGCCUGAACCAGCCAAGUAGCGUGAAGGAUGAAGGCUCUAUGGGUCGUAAACUUCUUUUAUAUAAGAAUAAAGUGCAGUAUGUAUACUGUUUUGUAUGUAUUAUAUGAAUAAGGAUCGGCUAACUCCGUGCCAGCAGCCGCGGUAAUACGGAGGAUCCGAGCGUUAUCCGGAUUUAUUGGGUUUAAAGGGAGCGUAGGUGGACUGGUAAGUCAGUUGUGAAAGUUUGCGGCUCAACCGUAAAAUUGCAGUUGAUACUGUCAGUCUUGAGUACAGUAGAGGUGGGCGGAAUUCGUGGUGUAGCGGUGAAAUGCUUAGAUAUCACGAAGAACUCCGAUUGCGAAGGCAGCUCACUGGACUGCAACUGACACUGAUGCUCGAAAGUGUGGGUAUCAAACAGGAUUAGAUACCCUGGUAGUCCACACAGUAAACGAUGAAUACUCGCUGUUUGCGAUAUACAGUAAGCGGCCAAGCGAAAGCAUUAAGUAUUCCACCUGGGGAGUACGCCGGCAACGGUGAAACUCAAAGGAAUUGACGGGGGCCCGCACAAGCGGAGGAACAUGUGGUUUAAUUCGAUGAUACGCGAGGAACCUUACCCGGGCUUAAAUUGCAGUGGAAUGAUGUGGAAACAUGUCAGUGAGCAAUCACCGCUGUGAAGGUGCUGCAUGGUUGUCGUCAGCUCGUGCCGUGAGGUGUCGGCUUAAGUGCCAUAACGAGCGCAACCCUUAUCUUCAGUUACUAACAGGUCAUGCUGAGGACUCUGGAGAGACUGCCGUCGUAAGAUGUGAGGAAGGUGGGGAUGACGUCAAAUCAGCACGGCCCUUACGUCCGGGGCUACACACGUGUUACAAUGGGGGGUACAGAAGGCAGCUAGCGGGUGACCGUAUGCUAAUCCCAAAAUCCUCUCUCAGUUCGGAUCGAAGUCUGCAACCCGACUUCGUGAAGCUGGAUUCGCUAGUAAUCGCGCAUCAGCCACGGCGCGGUGAAUACGUUCCCGGGCCUUGUACACACCGCCCGUCAAGCCAUGGGAGCCGGGGGUACCUGAAGUACGUAACCGCAAGGAUCGUCCUAGGGUAAAACUGGUGACU